rnacentral:rRNA from 1 species
CCCUUAGAUGUCCUGGGCCGCACGCGCGCUACACUGAUGCAUUCAACGAGUAUUUCCUUGGCCGAGAGGCCUGGGCAAUCUUUUAAACCUGCAUCGUGAUAGGGAUAGAUUAUUGCAAUUAUUAAUCUUGAACGAGGAAUUCCUAGUAAACGCAAAUCAUCAAUUUGCAUUGAUUACGUCCCUGCCCUUUGUACACACCGCCCGACGCACCUACCGAUUGAAUGGUCCGGUGAAAUCUCGGGAUUGUGGCCAGUUCACUUUAUUGGGAGUUGGCUGCGAGAACUUGCUUAAACCUUAUCAUUUAGAGGAAGGUGAAGUCGUAACA